AAAAAGGAAAUAAAAAUGCAGUUCAAUCUA
rnacentral:misc_RNA from 1 species